rnacentral:rRNA from 1 species
AUUGAACGCUGGCGGCAGGCCUAACACAUGCAAGUCGCACGAGUGGCGGACGGGUGUGUAAUGUCUGGGAAACUGCCUGAUGGAGGGGGAUAACUACUGGAAACGGUAGCUAAUACCGCAUACCAUCAGCUGUGCCCAGAUGGGAUUAGCUUGGUGGUGGGGUAACGGCUCACCAAGGCGACGCUCCCUAGCUGGUCCGAGAGGAUGACCAGCCACACUGGAACUGAGACACGGUACAGACUCCUACGGGAGGCAGCAGUAGGGAAUAUUGCAAAAUGGGCGCAAGCCGGAUGCAGAAGUGCCGCGUGUAUGAAGAAGGCCUUCAGGUAGUAAAGUACUUUCAGCGGGGAGGCGUUACCCGCAGAAGAAGCACCGGCGAACUCCGUGCCAGCAGCCGCGGUAAUUC